rnacentral:rRNA from 1 species
AGUUUUUUGAUAAUAAUUUAAAAUAAUACCUGCUCAAUGAUUAAAUUAAAUAGCUGCAGAAAUUUAACUGUACAAAGGUAGCAUAAUAAAUAGUUUUUUAAUUGAAAACUUGAAUGAAUGGUUUUAUGAAAUAUAAACUUUUUUAAUUUAAAUAUUAAAAAUUUUUUAUCAUUAAAAAAAAUGAUAAAUUUUUAAAAGACGAGAAGACCCUAUAGAUUUUAAUAAAAUUUAAUUAAUAAAAAAUUUAUUUUAUUUAAAUUUAUUAAUAAAUUNUAUUUAACUGGGGAAGUUAUUAAAUUUAAUUAACUUUAAUUAUUUUAAAACAUUAAUUAANGAAUUUNUGAUCUUAAAUUUUAGAUUAAUAGAAUAAAAUNCCUUAGGGAUA